rnacentral:rRNA from 1 species
UACGGGGGGGGCAAGCGUUGUUCGGAAUUACUGGGCGUAAAGGGCUCGUAGGUGGCCAACUAAGUCAGACGUGAAAUCCCUCGGCUUAACCGGGGAACUGCGUCUGAUACUGGAUGGCUUGAGUUCGGGAGAGGAAUGCGGAAUUCCAGGUGUAGCGGUGAAAUGCGCAGAUAUCAGGAGGAACACCAAUGGCGAAGGCAGCUCGCUGGGACGUGACUGACGCUGAGACGCGAAAGCGUGGGGAGCAAACAGG